AUACGCAGGGGGCGAGCGUUGUCCGGAAUGAUUGGGCGUAAAGGGCGCGUAGGCGGCUUUGCAAGUCAGUAGUGGAAGUCCAUUUUUCAAGGAUGGAAGUGCUACAGAAACUGCGGAGCUUGAGUGCAGGAGAGGUUAUCGGAAUUCCCGGUGUAGCGGUGAAAUGCAUAGAGAUCGGGAGGAACACCAGUGGCGAAGGCGGGUAACUGGACUGCAACUGACGCUGAGGCGCGAAAGUGUGGGGAGCAAACAGGAUUAGAUACCCUGGUAGUCCACGCCGUAAACGAUGAGUGCUAAGUGUUGGAGGGUUUCCGCCCUUCAGUGCUGCAGCUAGCGCAUUAAGCACUCCGCCUGGGGAGUACGACCGCAAGGUUGAAACUCAAAUGAAUUGGCGGG
rnacentral:rRNA from 1 species